UUUCAAAAAGGUUCCAGAAUGUCUUCCCACAACCAUGCAUGAGUCCCCAGACCUAGUUCUUUUCCUAGGUCUGGUUUUAUAAAUGCUGGUGAUAAAC